ACCUGGGUGGCUCAGUCAGCGGAGCGCCUGACUCCGGUUCAGGUCACGAACUCACAAUUCCGUGGGUUCGAGCCCCACAUUGGGCU
rnacentral:tRNA from 1 species